rnacentral:misc_RNA from 1 species
GAUGAAGAACGUAGCGAAAUGCGAUAAGUAAUGUGAAUUGCAGAAUUCAGUGAAUCAUCGAAUCUUUGAACGCACAUUGCGCCCGCCAGUAUUCUGGCGGGCAUGCCUGUCCGAGCGUCAUUUCAACCAUCAAGCCCCGGGCUUGUGUUGGGGACCUGCGUCCGACGCAGGCCCUGAAAACCAGUGGCGGGCUCGCUGUCCACACCGAGCGUAGUAACUAACCUCGCUAUGGAGUGGCGCGGGCGCCUGCCGUAAAACCCCAAUUUUUACAAGGUUGACCUCGGAUCAGGUAGGAAUACCCGCUGAACUUAAGCAUAUCAAUAAGCGGAGAA